rnacentral:miRNA from 1 species
AUAAAACCGGAGGAGAUUGGAGUG